rnacentral:lncRNA from 1 species
AAAAAAUUUAAAUAAUUUUUUAAAAGAUAAUUACCUAUAUAUAUAUAUAUAUAUAUAUACUUCAAAAUUUUCGAAAUAUUUUAUAUAUCUUUUUACUUUCUUGUUUCAAAUAUACUUCUUGCAUAUUUUUUCGUUAUUUAAAAAUAAUUUUAUCAUUAGUACCAGUCAUUUCGGAUUAAAUCUGAAUUAAAAUUCAACCAGUUAAAAAAAAUCAAAAUAUCUUUUCUACUACAGUAGAUGGAUAUAUUUAAAAGAAUAUAAUAAUAAUUUUACAAAAAUAAUGAUUAUUUUUAAUAAUUCAUUAAUAAGAUAUAAUUGGUUGAUAAAUAAUUCAAAAAUUUUGAUAAGUUUAGAUUUAUUUUUGUCAAGUUUAUCUCUUAAUAUUUUGUUCGUUAGACAUAAGAUAUAAGUUUAAAUCUUAUUCAAUUAUUGUUACUAGGAUUUUGUUUUAUGCACUACUACAUGUACAAGAUUUAGUGGCGACACCAAAAAGUAGUGAUUUAUGCGCCACCGAAAAGUCGCCACUAAAAAUUACUUUUGUUGUAGUGAUGCUAUAUAUAAACUACAGUAAAUGUGUGAAAAAUUAAUCCGCCACUGAUAUUUAGUCCAAUAAUAUUUAAUAAAGCUUUUAGCUUAAUACUCCUCUCCUUCCAACAAGUAGCAUGAGAGUUCGAAAGUACCAUGCGACUUCUUAGCAAGUAUUAUCUGUUUAGUUAUUUGUUUAGAUAUUUUUUUUCUCCUUCAAUAUUUUUUUAUAUAUUAUUUUAUUCGAUUUUAAACUUUGAAUUAUAUAUAUAAUUGAUAUCAGUAAAAAUACCGAUUCGAAUAAUAACUGCAGGAAUAGUUUUAAAAGAAUUUUAAAUUUCAAAUUUUGAAAUUUCAAAGUUAAAAUUUUAAUUUUAAAAAUUUUAAAAAUUCAAAUUUAAAUAUAAUAAAAGAUCAAUAUCAUUAUUUUUUUAUUUAUAAAAAUUCACUAUCUUUUUUAUUCCAUCUUAUCUAACCAAAAGUUUUUUUUUUUAUUUCCAAGAAUAACUCAAUUUUCAUCCAAACGUAAAAUUGAUCUAAUCUCCGUUUAUACCUCAAUUUAUAUCUUUUUCUGAAAUAGUCAUUUUUUACUUAUUCCCGAACCAAACUGGUGCUUGCAAACGAUACCCAAGCACCAGUUUGGUUCGGAGUUAAGGAAUGGAAUAACUCCUUAAUCCCGAAGUUAUUCCUAAGCAUCCAAUUUGGGAGGUGGGGUUAGCUAAUCCAACACCAAAUGGGCUAUUCUGGAAUAGUCCAUUUAGGGUGGGGUUAGCUAAUUUCACCCCACCCCACUACUCUAACUAAAUACUAUUUUAUUUAUAUCUGGACUAAACUCAAUUUUCAACCAAACAUAAAAUUAUUCUAAUUCUAAUUUAAUUCUGAACUUAACUCUAUUUCUGAAAUAAUAAAUUUUUACUUAACUCCGAAUCAAACGGUGGCAAACCGACU